rnacentral:snoRNA from 1 species
CUCCUGUGUCCCCCAUGCAGUCCCCUGUGAGCCCGCAGUAUUUUCCUUAUAUGAUCAGGCCCCGCUUGGGCGGCGCUGCUCGCCUGGAGCCUGAGAGGAUUAUAAAACGUGACAGGCGACGUGGGACCAGGGGACCCGGGG